UCCCCCUCAAAUCAGGUAGGACUACCCGCUGAACUUAAGCAUAUCAAUAAGCGGAGGAAAAGAAACCAACCGGGAUUGCCUCAGUAACGGCGAGUGAAGCGGC
rnacentral:rRNA from 1 species